UGGGGAAUAUUGCGCAAUGGAGGAAACUCUGACGCAGCAACGCCGCGUGAAGGAAGAAGGCCUUCGGGUUGUAAACUUCUUUGAUCGGGGACGAAAAUGACGGUACCCGAGGAACAAGCCACGGCUAACUACGUGCCAGCAGCCGCGGUAAUACGUAGGUGGCAAGCGUUGUCCGGAAUUACUGGGUGUAAAGGGCGUGUAGGCGGGGGAGCAAGUCAGAUGUGAAAGCCCACGGCUUAACUGUGGAACUGCAUCUGAAACUGUUCUUCUUGAGUGCUGGAGAGGAAAGUGGAAUUCCUAGUGUAGCGGUGAAAUGCGUAGAGAUUAGGAGGAACACCAGUGGCGAAGGCGGCUUUCUGGACAGUAACUGACGCUGAGGCGCGAAAGCGUGGGGAGCAAACAGG
rnacentral:rRNA from 2 species